CCCAGGUAGUUUCCAAAAGCUGGGCCUAUAAAUCAGAUAUCUGAACCCAGCCCAGGACACUUUCUAUUACAUGACCCAGGAAAAGAAAGUCAGCUAUCAAAUAUUCUUUUUUUUUCCUUCAACGUUUAGCUGAACCAUGAGAAAUCAUUACACGUAAUAUCUAAAUGUGAAUGUUUACUACCACUAGGAGGCUCAUGCUGGGGUACCUCUGGUGAAUAAAAUACAGUCCUUGCCCUCCGAGAUCCAGCAGAGACCAGCUGAGGAGACAGAUGUGUGAACAGUAUUAUGACAUCACAUCACAGAACUCAUCUUGGAGAAGAUGAAAUAGGACACCGUGACCUUCAUUUCUCCUUAACCUUGUGAAAAUUAAUACAGAAACCUCUUUUAAAAUGGAGUCAAGAGGCUAGAGGAGAGGACUCUCACUCACAUGUCACUCAGUGCAUACUAUUCACAGCAAUAGGAAGAGACCUACCUUGCGUCUACAGUAGGAGGUGAUUCUGCAUUACUACCUGAGCACGAGAAAGGAUUCCUCCUUGCCCUGUAACAGCUCAGCCAAUGGAAGACUGCCAUCACUCAGCCAACGAAAAAUCACUGUUCUUCAAACUUUUAGUUUCCUUCAAUGACCCUUCAUUUACAACAGCCCCUCUAAAGUCCAUCAAAGAGCAGUCCUCUCCUUGGUUUCUCUGGAUUUGAGUAUGGUUUACCAUUGGACCGAGAGUCCUGAAUUGCAAUUCUUUGUUGUUCCUGAAUAAACCCAUUUUGCUGGAGAAA